rnacentral:lncRNA from 1 species
AUAGCCAUAUGUUGCAAUCGAAUCAGUUUCAUGCAGAAGAAAAUGGGUUUGGAAGAUUCAGAACACAUCAUAAAGCCCUCAACCAUUUAACUUGAUUAAAAUUAGGGUGGUAAAACACCUGAACUCUCUCCUAUUUGACUUAUUUAUGAAAAGCCUUGCUCCAAUUGUGAUCCUAUAUGAUAUCGCAUAUAACAGUUUAAGCUUCCAGCAUCACAAUAUUAUGCAACUAGAAGUUAUUCAAUUUUAUGAUUCCACUAUAAGAAUUUCUUCAUUAGCUCUGAGACAUACAUACCACUACUAGCAUCACAAGAUUUAUGAUAUUGAUACAACCAGAUAUUAUUCAAUUUUAUGAUGCCAUUUUGAAUUACUAAUUGAAAUAUUAGAUAUCGCUCAUGCUUCUUUUUUAAUCAUAAAUGCUGAGUGUUGUGUGAUUAUAAUACUGAGAUUUUUAUUUUAAAAUCUUGUUGAGGCCUCUAAACUAUCUGUUACAACUGCGAUUAAUUAUUGUGGAAACGAAUACUUAAAACGGUACGAAUGCACCGGGUUAAAUGAGCAAGGAGUCAUGGUACCAAACAGGGAGAAGGGUAAUGGUAAAUGCUUAGUAAUUGUUGGGGCGGGGAAUCUCUAUUACUAGUUAUUAGAGGUUCAAAAUUUUCUUUCAGGUUCCUCUCAAGUUCUCAGAAUGCUUCCCUAGGCAUUUCCAUCUGUUUGGUGAUGAAAAAUCAAAUCAAAUUCAUCUUACGAGUUGGAUUCCGGUGAACUAUUACAUGGUACAAGUUUUACAAUCUCGGUACCGGAUCUUAUACUGACACCAUUCUAUUAUAAUACCGAUAUAUAAAUAAUCAUUAUAUUCAUUAUCAUAAUAAAUGAUGAAGUCUAUUUAAAGUGAUCAAAAUUUUUAUAGAUAUUUUAUAUUCAUUAUCAUAAUAAAUAAGAUCCGGUAUAUAAUCAUUAUCAUAAUAAUAGACUUCAUCAUUUAUUUCUAUAAGAUCCGGUAUAUAAUCUUAUUUAUUAUGAUAUUUUAUAGAUAUUUCUCAAUAUCUGAUGAAGUCUAUUUAAAGUGAUCAAAAUUUUUCAUAAUUCAUGUUUCUUGUUCUAGUUCGAUAGGAAGACACAUAAUCACAUGGUAUCGAAAUCAAUCAAUAUAAUGCAUAAUGAAAUUAAUAUGUUCAAUCAUGCUUCAUCAUAAUAUUUCAAAAUAAGAUAUUUUUCAUAACAAAAUAUCAUUCAUCCAAUUCAUACAUCAUUUCAUAAAUCAUGUCAGAAAAAUAUAUUAUAAUUUAUCGAUAAAUCUAGAAAAAGUAAAGUAUUACUUACCUCAUACGUAUUUCAAUAAAUCUACAUAAUUCUAAAAAUUUUCUUCUAAAAUUCUUUGUUCAUAGAUCAUAUCACGAUAUCCCAUGAUCAAACAUCCACAACCCUAUAUAGGAUCAAUUUCAAUAAUUAGAAAGGACAUAAAUAAUUAAGAAAGAUAAAAUUGAUGGAUACCGGCAUCCUAUGGUCGAGAUUGAUCCAGUCAUCUAAUUUCAUCUGGUCAAAAUCCAAUUAGGACAUAGGUGAUUUAAAGUUUGACUAUCGUACCAAAUCCGAUUUUUAAAGUGAUAGGGUCGAGAUUUUUUCAUUGAGUUCAUAAAUCAAGUAGAGAGAGAAAGUCAGAGGAGAGAGAAUUCAUGAGGUACAAUCUAAAUUGAUCAGUUGACAUGGUCUAACAUCUCGAUUGGUCCAAUUAAAAUAAUCUAAUCAAGUCAUGGUUAAACCAGUAUACAGAUAAUUCAGAAUAAAAUUAUGGAUGAUCAAAUCUAAUGGUUCAUGAUCUGAUCAAGAUGCUGGUAUACUGCUCGACGACCACGGAUCAGGAUGCUUUCACUAGAAUCAUUCAAACUCAUCAUUACUCUUCUCAUAAUUCUAGAAAAUCCUAGGAGAGAUAAUCUAGAGAGAGUGGAGAGAGAAAUUAGAGAG